UACGGAGGGGGUUAGCGUUGUUCGGAAUUACUGGGCGUAAAGCGCACGUAGGCGGAUUAGUCAGUCAGAGGUGAAAUCCCAGGGCUCAACCCUGGAACUGCCUUUGAUACUGCUAGUCUUGAGUUCGAGAGAGGUGAGUGGAAUUCCGAGUGUAGAGGUGAAAUUCGUAGAUAUUCGGAGGAACACCAGUGGCGAAGGCGGCUCACUGGCUCGAUACUGACGCUGAGGUGCGAAAGUGU
rnacentral:rRNA from 1 species